AUAAUAUAUCAAAUCUAUUAAAUACGUGAUAAAAUAAAAAUGCAUCAAAUAUAAAACCUAGUUGAAUGUAACAAAAUGUAGAUAUCACUGUUUAAAGAAAGCAAACACAUAAUCCACAAAGAAAUAUAGCUAAUGAACUUAAUAUAACCAGAUCUUGUAAUCCUAAGUACCGGAGUUGCCCACGUUCCGAUUUUCAUGUCCUUCUUCCAUUGCCUAU
rnacentral:lncRNA from 1 species